rnacentral:rRNA from 1 species
UGUGUAGGCGGUUCUUUAAGUUCGCUGUGAAAUCUCCCGGCUUAACCGGGAGGGUGCGGUGAAUACUGAGGGACUAGAGUACGGGAGAGGAAAGUGGAAUUCCUGGUGUAGCGGUGAAAUGCGUAGAUAUCAGGAGGAACACCGGUGGUGUAGACGGCUUCUGGACCGUAACUGACGCUGAGACACGAAAGCGUGGGUAGGCAAAACA